CAGCAGCCGCGGGAAUACGAAGGGUGCAAGCGUUACUCGGAAUUACUGGGCGUAAAGCGUGCGUAGGCGGCUAAUUGAGUCGGAUGUGAAAUCCCCGAGCUUAACUUGGGAAUUGCAUUCGAUACUGGUUAGCUAGAGUGUGGGAGAGGAUGGUAGAAUUCCAGGUGUAGCGGUGAAAUGCGUAGAGAUCUGGAGGAAUACCGAUGGCGAAGGCAGCCAUCUGGCCUAACACUGACGCUGAGGUACGAAAGCAUGGGGAGCAAACAGGAUUAGAUACCCGCGUAGUCCCUGUCUCUUAUAC
rnacentral:rRNA from 1 species